CUCUAGUGCAAGUAUUCAUUCUAUAACCAGGGUACGUCUCCCAUUCCAGAGAUUCUGACCAUAUGUUCAAAAGCAGAUAAAAGCAGGGGAAAGGUAACAUAAGGUCAGCAUUUGGCAGAGCAAACAGAGCAGUACCCUUCCAUGUAGGGUUUAGCUCUGGUACUUCCCAUGUCCGUGGGAUCAAGAAUGGCUCCUCAUUUGUUUGUCACAAAACAACAUUCCUGAACAGCUUUUAGGCCUAUGAAGGCAGUAAAUUGCAAAAUGAACAAAGAGAGCAGGUGUGGUAUUCAUCUUAUUUUUCUGGGAAAGAAGAAAAGAAAGAAGAAGAAAAGAAAAGAAAGAAAGAAAAAGAAAGAAAGAAAGAAAGAAAGAAAGAAAGAAAGAAAGAAAGAAAGAAAGAAAGAAAGAAAGAAAGAAAGAAAGAAAGAAAGAAAGAAAAGAAAGAAAGAAAGAAAGAAAGAAAGAAAGAAAGAAAGAAAGAAAGAAAGAAAGAAAGAAUUUCAAAACAAGAAAAAUCCUCUAAUAAAAAUGCAAUGUGGAAAUGCUUAUAUAGUCUAUACUCAUUAGUAUUGUUCUAAUUUCAGCCUUUUUUCAGGUUAACAUAUGAAGAGAAGCCAUUAGCUCUACUUCAAGGCAGCUCAGUAAUGAAAAUUUGUAAACUUAAUUAGGGCAGAAAAGAUGUUAAGUUUAAGAUAAAACAUAUAAAUGUUUAGAAACUUCCCACAUUUCACAUGGAACAGAUCAUAUCUAACAAUAUUCACUGAAAACGUAAUCGCUACUUCAAACUUGUCAGCUCUAAUUUGCAGAAUUCUAGGAUUCUGGGAAAUUCCAGAAUUCAAUAAAAUGUGAAUGUUGAACAUUAAUUGGAAAAGAAAAAUUACCUUAAUAUUUCCAGCAUAUAGUCACUCUAAUGAAAUGUAAAAUUAUGCAAUGGUUAUGAUCUUGUGUAGAAGGAAAUACAUUUCCAGUUAUAUGAUUUAGUUUAACACACAGUCUGGAAAGUUUGGGUAAUACCUUCAGAUGUAUUGUCAUACCCUUGUCAAAGACAUCUAGGGUUCUUUAAUGGCAUAUCUUAGUUGAAUUAAAAUAAAAUAACAGAAGGACAACUCACAGAAAACAAAAAAGAAAUUUCUUAUUCCUAAUGUAACAAUUACUGCUCCUUUCUCCUCUUUUAUUUGAGGUCAGUAUGAAUGAAAGUCAUUGAUACCUCUGCCCUUAAAAUUGAGUCAUGAAAGUUUACCUAGAGUUGCAUCAUUUAUAUUUAAAUCAUUUAUAUUUAAUAUUGAAAUUUGAAACUAAAUACAAAAGAACAUUCCUCUUUUCUCACACUUGACUUGAAUCUUUAAAAACAUGGUCUUCCUGGAGCAGACAGGAAGAAAUAUUGUGUUACUUCAAGGCUUACUUUUCUGUGGUUUAUGUUUUACAUAAGAUUAGACUAGAUCAGGAUAACUCUGUUUUUGCCUUAGGAUCUAUCAGUCUUGAAAUUCUUCCCCAAAGUACACAUGUAUGACACAAAUCAUUAUCAAUUAUUAAUUAUUAAUACUUUACUCUUGACAACAGAAAAAAGUAACCUUAAAAUUGCAAAAAAAAACCAACUGAAAAGGAGUCUGCUUCGUGAAAAACUUUGCCUUUUCUUCUGAGGAAGAUUUUCAAGUGAUUCAGAAAAGAUUCACCGUUUUGAUAAUAAAAUUGAAGACCUAGAAAACAGGUCACGAUGUUCACAUCUUAAGAAUUACAGCUAUUACAGAAGAAAGCAAAAGUGAAAAAUGAUUUGAUUUAUAACCACUCUCAUAAUCAGAGUAAUCAGGGGAUGCAUUUUCCCACACAAAUUGGAAAUGAUAUCACCACAUGGAUUCAUUAAUCUGAAACACAGAGAACAGAGCAAAUUCUGUGUUACGUUUAUAAAGCUAAAACCAUUUCGAAAAAAGGUUAAAAAGUUUCCCAUGCAUCAAGGAAAAUACAGAAUUAAUCUCAAUAUUUUUAUUGCAGUUUCAUUAAAAAAACUUAGAGAAGAGUGAACACAAAGGAAAUCUCCUGGAGAAUGUGCAUACUGUUUCUUUAAUUACAGAUAGAAAGAUAGAUGUAGCUUGAAAAGGUGUCUACAUGCAACAUAUACAUGGAAAUUCUAGGUAAGAAGCAAGAGAAGAAAACCAAAAAUUUUUCUCAGUAUAGAUACCUUUUUGCCAGUCGCUGUUCCUUGACAUACAUAGAGGUACAGUGCUGAAGAAAAGCUGUUUGGCAGAACUAGUUCCAGGGUGUGUGGUAAAAUGGUAUAAUUUGCACCUGGUUCUCUAACAGGGUUGUUAGAGAUGGCAACUUCACAGAAAAAAAAAUAGUCAUAGAAUCACAGAAUAUGCUGAGUUGGUAGGUCCCUUCAGGAUCACUGAGCUUAGCUUGUGCCAUGACCAGUUCAACAUGUCAUCUCCAUUUCUAACCUGAAUGCUUGCUUAUUUAAUAUGUCAUAUGCUCAUGUACCAUGCAAUCUCAGGAGGUGAUGUCUUAAGUUUUAGCUUUUAUAUUUUCCAGAUUCUGUACUGCAUUAUUAUGUAACUCUGAAUUUCAUAUAAAGUGUUAGCAAGUUCUCUACACAGUCCAGUUAGACAAAACAAUCCUUUUCCAGCCAAGAACCAAAGACACCAUUACAGCUUCAGCCCAAAAACUAUAAACACCAGCAAAUUGAGGAGAGCAAUCUGGGAGGAUGGGACUUCAUAACCUGAAGCUGUGAUUGGAUAAUUAACCCAAUAUGUAAAUGGACCAAAACUUAUAAAAGUUUAAAAAACUUGUGACUGAUCUUAUAUCUUGUGUCCGUCUUGGAUGUAGCUCUGGCUGCGCUCUUGUACUGUC